rnacentral:rRNA from 1 species
GAUGAACGCUAGCGACAGGCCUAACACAUGCAAGUCGAGGGGCGGCACAAAGUAGCAAUACUUGGUGGCGACCGGCGCACGGGUGAGUAACACGUAUGCAACCUACCUGUAAGCGGGGAAUAACCCGGAGAAAUUCGGACUAACACCGCAUAAUACUGAAUUACUGCAUGGUUUUUCAGUUAAAUAUUUAUAGCUUACAGAUGGGCAUGCGUAUGAUUAGAUAGUUGGUAGGGUAACGGCCUACCAAGUCAACGAUCAUUAGGGGUUCUGAGAGGAAGGUCCCCCACACUGGUACUGAGACACGGACCAGACUCCUACGGGAGGCAGCAGUGAGGAAUAUUGGUCAAUGGGCGAGAGCCUGAACCAGCCAAGUCGCGUGAAGGAAGAAGGUUCUAUGGAUUGUAAACUUCUUUUGUAAGGGAAUAAAAAGAGUACGUGUACUCUAUUGUAUGUACUUUACGAAUAAGGAUCGGCUAACUCCGUG